rnacentral:lncRNA from 1 species
AAUGAAGCUGUUUCUGGGCUUGUAUUUCUUUUCCCUCGUCUACUCAGUACACACACUGCACUGCCUUCGGUGUGUUAGUGAUUCAGGUCAGUGCAGCACCACCAACUCAAGCCAGUGUGAAACAGGCACAAUGUGUAAUGCAUGGAGAAUUGAUUUUGCUGAAUCAGGACUUGGGAAUGGCUCGUCAGUUAUACGUUCUUGUAUGUCUAAUACACUCUGCGCUCAGCUGAAUGCAUCUUCUUCAGGCAUAACGUACUCAAGCAACUUUGGAUCAUCAAGUUUCUUUUAUUUUUUCUCCUGCUGUAAUUCCAGUAAUUGCAAUAACAUCAACAUCCCAGAACCUGACAACACCCCUAAUGGACUAAAAUGUGCAGCCUGCAGCAGUUACCUGGACACAACCUGCAACACUACUGUGUACUGUGUAGGAAUUCAAGAAUACUGUAUGAAUUAUGCAGGUUAGUUUACCUUUUACAUUUGCAGUAUCAUUU